rnacentral:rRNA from 1 species
GACGAACGCUGGCGGCGUGCCUAAUACAUGCAAGUAGAACGCUGAAGGAGGAGCUUGCUUCUCUGGAUGAGUUGCGAACGGGUGAGUAACGCGUAGGUAACCUGCCUGGUAGCGGGGGAUAACUAUUGGAAACGAUAGCUAAUACCGCAUAAGAGUAGAUGUUGCAUGACAUUUGCUUAAAAGGUGCAAUUGCAUCACUACCAGAUGGACCUGCGUUGUAUUAGCUAGUUGGUGGGGUAACGGCUCACCAAGGCGACGAUACAUAGCCGACCUGAGAGGGUGGUCGGGCAAACUGGGAACGGGGAACGGCCCAGGCUCCUACGGGGAGCAGCAGGAAGGAAUCUUCGGCAAAGGACCGAAGGCUGGACGGACAACGCCGGGUGGGUGAAGGAGGUUUUCGGAUCGUAAAGCUCUGUUGUAUGGGAAAAACGAGUGUGAGAGUGAAAAGUGCACACUGUGACGGUAUCUUACCAGAAAGGGACGGCUAACUACGUG